AGGAAUUCCCGCUAAACGACAUCUAUACAGAGCCUUUCUGCUGACACGGGCCAGCAAGUGGUUAAUAUCAAAAAGCAGACAUCUGAAGAGGCACUGACACCCUCCCACUCACAGAAGAUCUGGCCUUAUGUUAACAAUGUGUCGAAAGCACACUUAUUGGAGCAUAUCAGGAACAGCUGAACACAAGCGCAGCUUGGAAAUUUUUCUGGGUUGGGCCAAGGAACCUAAGAAAAAGCAUCCAGGGACACCUAGACCUCAAAAGUUACCUGGCAAAGUUUUUUGCAUCUGCCAAAGUUUGUUUCCAAGGACUCUGGCGGGCUUCCGUAAUGUAUUGUAAUGCUUAUCCGA
rnacentral:lncRNA from 1 species